UACAGAGGGUGCGAGCGUUGUCCGGAAUUACUGGGCGUAAAGGGCGCGUAGGCGGCCUGAUACGUAGGGGGUGAAAUUCCGUGGCUCAACCACGGAACUGCCUUCUAGACUGCCAGGCUUGAGCACGGUAGAGGCAGAUGGAAUUCCCGGUGUAGCGGUGGAAUGCGUAGAGAUCGGGAAGAACACCAGUGGCGAAGGCGGUCUGCUGGGCCGUUGCUGACGCUGAUGCGCGACAGCGUGGGGAGCAAACAGG
rnacentral:rRNA from 1 species